rnacentral:rRNA from 1 species
GACGAACGCUGGCGGCGUGCUUAACACAUGCAAGUCGAACGGAAAGGCCCUGCGUUUGCUGGUUGCUUGAUUGGCGAACGGGUGAGUAACACGUGUGUAACCUGCCCUUGUCUUUGGGAUAACUUUACGAAACUGGGUCUAAUACCGGAUAGGAUCUUCUGCUGCACGGUGGGCGUUGGAAAGAUUCGGCGGUUGUGGAUGGAUUCGCUGGUUAUCCGCUUGUUGGUGUGGUAGUUGCUUUCCAAGGCUUUGACGGGUAGCCGGCCUGAGAGGGUGACCGGCCACAUUGGGACUGAGAUACGGACCAGAAUCGUACGGGAGGCAGUAGUGGGGAGUAUGGCACAACGGGCGGACGCCAGAUGCAGCGACGCCGCGUGCGGGAUGACGGCUUUCGGGUUGUGAACCGAUUUCGCCUGUGACGAAGCGUGAGUGACGGUAAUGGGUAAAGAAGCACCGGCUAACUACGUG